AGGGUGUGGAAACCUCUUCCUAGCAGACACGUUUUAAAACCUUGAGGGAAGCCCAAAAGGGAAAGCUCAAAAAGGUCAAUAACUAGCGGACUCGGGCUGUUACAUUUCUUCUCAUAAAGAUAGGUCUCCUUUCCAAGGAUUGGAUGAUGACUGUACUGAAAGUUUGUGGUGGUGCAUAUUGAGAUGCCCCCAUUUUUAAUACCUUUUAACUUGUUGCAUCUCAGCAAAGAUUGAAGCAGGAUGAGAUAAAAGCUUUCUUCAUGGCUUACCAUGUCUCCAACAUUAUAACAGGUUCUCUCUUACGCUUUACUGGAUCCCUUCUCAUUUUUCUUGCAUCUCUAAUUAGCGAGAAGUCGAUCAGAACAAUUACAUACUAUAGUUUUCAAUGGUGCCUUUCUGGAAGUAUAUGGCUGAAUAUUUGUUCUAUGUUUAGGAUUCAGAUUCUCAAUUCCUGUUUUUUGGUGCUUGUCCUGGUUUUUGAUCAUCCUAUACUCUUUGCCUUUGAAUUCCUUAACUACUGAUGAUGAUAUUUUGAUGGUUAUUCUGGACGACGCGUUUUCUUUUCUCCUUCUUCUAGCUCGAUCGACCGUGUUUAAUUCUUAGAUAGGCUGCCCAGAAUCUGGCAUCAGCUUAUUCACUCAGGCUGUUCCCUUAUGUACUACUCAAUUCUUCUCUACUGGUUGUUUUGGCUAUCAAGAUCUAAUAAAUGGAACUCUACAGUAAACGGAGUGCUUUAUGGGAGUAUCGCAACGCGAAAGUCAGCACUCGGUCGUCUUCAACUCAGUCUUGAAAGCUAAUGUGAACUGAAGCCCUGCAAUAGUUCUCAUAAUGAAUGAAAAAAGUCGGGUUCGUUUCGAAAGGCAUUCUCUAUUUGAUGAGGAUGAGAACUAGCUACGAAUCGGGAUCGAAAACAUAAUUAGUCAUAACUCGUAGAACAACCAGCUUAAAUCCUCAACUAAGACUGCUUUUAAGGAUGAAUCAAUAGAUGCUCUGAGGCUCUGAAGAUGCGUAUAGUACCUAGAUGAUAUCAUUAUAGCUGUUCAUUAGUUAUAGACUGCCAUUGGGAAAACUCUGUUCUUUAUGUGUCUGAAGAUCUAUGGGGGGCCUCAAACAGGGUGUGGCUGUAGCGUCUUGAUGAUGCCACUGUUACCAGUUUCGUCUCUGCAUGUUAUUGUCUUAGAUAUUAAACUAUCGCCAUGUGCUCGAGGGUCGAGCUAUCUUUUCCUACAGUCAACUUCAAAUUUAAUGA